AGUCAGGGUUGCUGAGUGUCAGAUGUAUGCACAUGUGAAUGGAUUGCUAGGAAAAAACAGGAGUUCUUUGUGUUCAUUUUAUGUUAUGUUAAAAUGGUGAGUCUGUGACAUUUUACAUUUUUCCAGCUGGCAACAUAACAUACAUUUAAAAACUUCAACAUUAAAAUGGAUGUCUAAUUUAUACUUUUUGUUUUAUAGUUUUGAAGUGAUUAAAGUUAUCCAUGGCAAAUUGUUGGAUAUGGUGGGGAAAGUACAGUAAGUAGUACCAUUUUAUCUGCUUGUUAGAGAAACUUCUUUUAAUAGUAUCUUCUGAGCAAUACAAUCUGGCACUUACUGGUUUGUCUUUUUUUUCUUACAAAUAGAAUACCUAUUAUGUUGGUUGGGAAUAAGAAAGACCUGCAUAUGGAAAGGGUGAUCAGUUAUGAAGAAGGGAAAGCUUUGGCAGAAUCUUGGAAUGCAGCUUUUUUGGAAUCUUCUGCUAAAGAAAAUCAGGUAACAGAUUCUAUAAACCUCAUUUUGCAUUGCGUUCUCAUCAGUCGCAGGGAUGUGUUCCUUGCAGUUGGCAUUUGACCUCUGUCUUGAUCACUCCUGUGUAACAUCUGGCCUUCCUCCAUUUCUAAUACCAAGUUUUGUGUUGCUUUAGGAAGAUACUACUUAGGUGUUUAUAAAUUCAGUCAGUAUUCUACUUACAGUGGAACCUAGGAUAUUUGUAGGAUAAACAGAAACUAUUAGUAAAGGAAAUACUACCUUUUGUAAACAUAUAU
rnacentral:lncRNA from 1 species